rnacentral:rRNA from 1 species
AUGCAAAGACUCUUUUGGCCAUUGAAAACAAGCCAUGAAGUAGCUCGGUAUGCCAGCCAGAACGGAGUUAAUGAGAGUGAGUCUGCCACCCCAAGAGAGAAACGUGGCCAGCCAACCAGAGGGGCAACGAUCAACUUUGUGGAUAACCGGAAGCAGCAUACCAUGCUUGAUCUUGUGCAAGGAGAGGGGCAUCCCCAGGUAAGUACAGGGAAAGGAGGAGAUCGGGCAACCCAGAAUGCUGGCAAUCUCCACAUCCACUUCCUGUUGCACACAAACAGGCACCAAGGUGCUUUUGUGGAAGUUGAUAGUCAGCCCUGA